rnacentral:rRNA from 1 species
GAGCACGUAGGUGGGUUUGUAAGUCAGAUGUGAAAGCCUUCUGUUCGACGGAAGAAUUGCAUCUGAAACUGCGAGUCUUGAGUGUAGGAGGGGAGAAUGGAACAUCUGGUGGAGCGGUGAAAUGCGUAGAUAUCAGAAGGAACUCCGGCGGCGAAAGCGAUUCUCUGGCCUAUUACUGACACUCAGUGUGCGAAAGCUAGGGGAGCAAACGGGAUUAGAUACCCCGGUAGUCCUAGCCGUAAACGAUGGGCACUAAGUAGAGGGGUUUU